rnacentral:rRNA from 1 species
CGCGUAGGUGGUAGUGUAAGUCUGAGGUGGAAUCCUAUGGCUUAACCAUAGAACUGCCUUGGAUACUGUAUUACUUGAGUCAGUGAGGGGAGGGUAGAAUUCCUGGUGUAGCGGUGAAAUGCGUAGAUAUCAGGAGGAAGGCCUGUGGCGAAGGCGGCCCUCUGGCGCUAGACUGACACUGAGGCGCGAAAGCGUGGGGAGCAAACAGGAUUAGAUACCCUGGUAGUCCACGCCCUAAACGGUGGGCACUAGGUGUAGGGCUCGUAAGGGUUCUGUGCCGAAGGGAAACCAUUAAGUGCCCCGCCUGGGGAGUACGGCCGCAAGGUUGAA